rnacentral:lncRNA from 1 species
GGAGCCCAGGCCCGCCUGUUAGGGGAUGGAAGAAAUAUCACGAACUAUGUGUAGCCUGGGUUAGUACCACCUCGCUUGCGGGAGGGGGCCACGGCCCCCUUAUAAGGGCGAGCUUCAUUCCUCUCUCAACCCGGGUUUUGAGAUGUGAGUGUGGAGCUCGCUGCUGAAGGCCGACCCACGAGCGCAUAAACGCCUGAGACUGACCCAGGUACGCUAACAAAUGGUAACGGAGCUCAGGCCCGCCUGUUUAGGGGAUGGAAUGUCACGAACUAUGUGUAGCCUGGGUUAGUACCACCUCGCUUGCGGGAGGGGGUCGUGGCCGGCUUAUAAGGGCGAGCUUCAUUCCUCUCUCAACCCGGGUUUUGAGAUGUGAGUGUGGAGCUCGCUGCUGAAGGCCGACCCACGAGCGCAUAAACGCCUGAGACUGGCCCAGGUUGUCGGCGUUUCGAGACAGGGGGGUCCCUAAGCCGACGAGUGAGUGUGCUGCGUGCCCCAGCCCAGAUGGGUCGAGCGCGUGGGCGAGCGCGAAGGGGGGAGAGGCGAGGUGGCCGGAGCCGAGCGUGAGAGAGGUGGAAGUUCCGCGGCCUUCGUGUUCGUCCCGCGCCCAGGUCAGGUGCGCUUGCAGUAGGGGGGUUACAAGCGUCCACGCGGGUGAGGGAAGCGAGCGGCCCCAAGAGAGCGCCUGUCCCGUCCUCGGUCCCGCGCGGCCAACCUUCUCUAAGAAGGCCCUGGUCCUCCCUUUUAUAGUCGUAAGGAGAGGAUCCAGGUGUACAAUGGGGGGUGUAGCAGAGUGCUACGUGUCUAGCGGAGGGAGAGCUAGCGCCCUAGGUACAUGCCAAUGUGGCAGCCGGAGAGAUCUGGGCACCCUGCUGGCGUGAUGUCGUGGCUGUCGGAGGUGCGGCGGAGCCUGGUGGAGGGACAGCUGUUGGAGCGGUCGAAUCCCUGCUGACGUCGUCCUGCUUUCGUAAGAGAGCUGGGGGCCGCCGUCGUCAUAGAGCUUGUGGAGCGCCAUCAUUGCCCUCCGGCGGAGCUGGCCGGAUGGGACGCCGGUCUUGUUCUUCGUGACCCGAGUCGAUUCGGGGUAGGAUGAUGAUGGCGCUUCCUGUCGACGUGGCGGUCUGUGCCCUAGGCAGGGCGACGUGGGGGUUCCUCCGAAGCCGAGGUUGAGUCUGCCUUCCGUUGCCGUGGCCGAGCCCGAGCCAUGGGGUCGGGCGAGGCGGAAGUCGUUCGGCCGAGGCCAGGGCGGAGUCCGAGCCCUGGGGUCGGGCGAGGCGGAAGUCGUUCGGCCGAGGCCAGGGCGGAGUCCGAGCCCUGGGGUCGGGCGAGGCGGAAGUUGUUCGGCCGAGGCCAGGGCGGAGUCCGAGCCCUGGGGUCGGGCGAGGCGGAGUUUCGUCGUCUUCCGGGUCUUAGCCCGAGUCCGAGCCCUGGGGUCGGGCGAAGCGGAGUUUCGUCGUCUUCCGGGUCUUAGCCCGAGUCCGAGCCCUGGGGUCGGGCGGAGCGGAGUUUCGUCGUCUUCCGGGUCUUAGCCCGAGUCCGAGCCCUGGGGUCGGGCGGAGCGGAGUUCGCCGUCUUCCGGGUCUUAGCCCGAGUCCGAGCCCUGGGGUCGGGCGGAGCGGAGUUUCGUCGUCUUCCGGGUCUUAGCCCGAGUCCGAGCCCUGGGGUCGGGCGGGGCGGAGUUCGCCGUCUUCCGGGUCUUAGCCCGAGUCCGAGCCCUGGGGUCGGGCGGGGCGGAGUUCGCCGUGGCGCCUUUGGCAAGGCCUACUGCCUGUCAGACUCACUCUGUCGAGUGGCACUGCAGUCGGAGUGGCGCAGGCGGCGCUGUCCUUCUGUCAGACUGGCCAGUGGAGAGGUAGAGUGACGGCGGUCACCUCGGCUCUGCCGGGGGCGCGUGUCAGGAUAGAGGUGUCAGGCCACCUUUGCGUUAAAUGCCCCUGCAAUUUGGUCAGUCGGUGUGGUGAUUUAGUCAAGGUUGCUUCUGAGCGAAGCCAAGGCCUUGGGCGAGCCGGUGAUGUGUCCGCCAUAAAAAGGGGGCCUCGGGCGAGACGGAAGUCUCUCGAGGUCGGCUGCCUUUGGCCGAGGCUAGGCUCGGGUGAAGCGUGAUCGAGUCACUCGUGUGGACUGAUCCCUGACUUAAUCGUACCCAUCAGGCCUUUGCAGCUUUAUGCUGAUGGGGGUUACCAGCUGAGAAUUAGGCGCCUUGAGGGUACCCCUAAUUAUGGUCCCCGACAGUAGCCCCCGAGCCUCGAAGGGAGUGUUAGCACUCGCUUGGAGGCUUUUGUCGCACUUUUUUGCAAGGGGACCAGCCUUUCUCGGUUGCAUUUCGUUCCGGUGGGUGCGCGCGAGCGCACCCGCCGGGUGUAGCCCCCGAGGCCUCGGAGGAGUGGUUACACUCCUUCGAGGUCUUAAUACUUCGCUUAACGCUUCGGCUGGUCUGGUCGUUCCCUCAUGCGAACUGGCCGUAGCCCGGGUGCACGGUCGGGGCCCAAGCUCUCGGGCUGGUAUGUUGACGCUGUCAACGAUUUGGCCGGAGCCGGUUUUUGCGAGAGCAGCCCCCGAGCCUCUGCACAGGGCGAGAGGACGAUCAGGGACAGACUCGGCUUUUUACAUACGCCCCUACAUCGCCUUUCCGCAAGGAGGAGGGGGGAGUGCGCCAUGUUACCCUCGAUGGGCACCGAACAUGGUGUCUCCGGUGAGCUGCAAGCGGGUAAUCCGAGUGGACGUCCGUGCCCCGUUCGUUGGGGGUCGGCUAGGGGCCCAGAGGCACGCCCAAAAGUACCUGCGGGUGAUUUGCCGGACCUGGUCCCCUGGCGACGGGGUCCGAGGGCUCGAUGCCUCCCUCCGAUGGGAUUCCGUUACAAGAUCGUUCCCGCUGGUCUCGGAAAUGUCCUAGGGUACCUCGGGAGCGCAGCCCGAGCCUCGGUUAUGUAUCGAACGUACCCCUGGUCAUCCCUCGCUCGGCGUCUGAGGCGACUGUGAACCCUUCGGGGGCCAGCCUUCGAACCCCUGAUCAGUAAUGGGCACGGAGCCCGAGUAGCCUGAGGCGGCCAUGGAACCCUUCGGGGGGCUGGCCUUCGAACCCCUGACCAGUAGUGGGUGUCGGGCCCACGCGAUCUGAGGCGGCUGUUGAACCCUUCGGAGGGCCAGCCUUCGAACCCCUGAUCAGUAGUGGGGGGCUCGGAGCCCGGUUCCUUCGCGGAGAAGGAUCCCUUUCGGGGUAUCCCCCUUUCCCGGUCCCUGUUGCAAGAGAUAGAGAAAGAGGAAAACGGCAAAGGAUACGAAAUCGGACGACGUGGCGUACCUUUUCUGAAGCGGUUAUUACGGCGAAGGUGAAGCGUCGCGCGCUCCUCCUGCCAGAAGCGCCGCGUGUCCCGCCGCGGAGUUAAUGCGACUGGGCGAGUGGUUGGCGGGGCGGCCGUUACGCGCGUGCGAUCCGUUCGAGGAACGGGUCACGGGUGCACCGUCUCCACGCCGUGAGAGGAGGCUCUCUUGCUGUCCCAGGAUGGGACGUGAGCCUGGCUGACGACGUGACCGCUGCGCCCGCCCGCCUGCCACCGCUAUUACUGCCGGCCCUCUUUCGGUCGCUUUGACCGACGCGCCAGGCUGGCGCUGUUGGGUCGCCUCGAGUCGCGGCAUUGGCUCCGCAACCGAAGAGGCGCGAUGGUGGCACAAGUGGCGGUGCGGUUGCUUGCAUGCAGCAACUGGCGCGCCGGUUGCUCGACGCGUGGGCCUGGGUUCCCAAGCUGGCGUGUCAGAAGUUGGAGAAGCGCGUCCAUCUGGCGCGGUUGCAUGCCGCCUGCAUGGCUGCCCGCCCCUUCUGCCCGUUGGUCUGGGCGGAAAUGGGGGGUCGCUUGUAACCGCUGGACGGUCGUGCGCACCACGCGCGGCGGUUCGGCUUCUUCUGCCCUGAGCCGACUUGCAUGACAUGCGGGACCCAGCCCCCGAGUCGCAGGGGAGGGCCUUGGAGCGUGUUGGAGAAGACUCGGCCCGCGGCGCCUGGGGGCGCACGUAGGGGGAGUUGCCUUUAAAAGGAGGGAGGCUCCUUUCGUAAGGCAACCAUGUCUUCUUCCUCCCUUAAGCGUCGGGUCUUCCCGUCUUCCAAGCCCCCGGAUGGGGGGUAUCCGCCGCCUUUCCGCCUCCUCGUUGGAGGAACGCAACUCCAUGGGAGUUGGUACCUCUCAGCCGUCGUUCGGCUUCAAGGAUUUUCAUUACGCAGCCUGGCCACGCUCCGCCACCGGUGGCCACCCAAGAUGGUGACCUCUAGUUCGACGGUGGGGAAAGCGGGCCAGGCCGCGGCCUCUACUCCUCCCUCGGCCUCAAGGAUUUUCGUCAUCCAGGCCAAGAUGGAAGAUGAGGCGAGUCGGGGGGCCGCCCCCGCGUGGGUCGGCUGCCCUUUUCUUCCCCCCGCGCCCGGGGGUGAAGGGCGUCCUUGAGCCCCACGGAGACUUCCUCCAGCCAUGCCGGGAUAUGUAGGGCGCUAGUGGCCCUGGAUCUCCGUCUCCCUGCCUGAAUGGCUGGUUCUCGUCCUCAGCGGGGGGAGUCCUCCUGCCGUGACACCUGCCCCAAAGCUGCUGCCUAAGCCGCUUCGCUGUCUAGGGCAGGGGUGGUUGUCGUCGCGGUUGGAACGGGCGGCAGUGAGCCGCUCAUCGUUCUUCAGUUACUCCGCAGGCCUUCCCCCUCGGAGGGGGGUUGUUCGUACCUGCGGAGGUGGGAACCGGAGUUCCGUUGGUAGUGGCAUCUCGAAUGCCAGUGUUUUUCGUUCAUUGUGGCUGUCGGGGCCUGAACAUGUAUGUAAUUUCGGCACGGAGCCGUGUUUUUUCCUCAUUUUCGAGCACUAAGUCUCGCCUGUUGAUUAUCUGAACCGCUUUACCAAGCAUGAGUCGCCCCGUGUCAAGGUGACGGGUGAGGUAUCCGUAUCCCGGAGGCGUAGGAAUCCCUCGGCCCGUUCGGCCUUGUUGUCUGGGGUUCCUCUAGCUUAGUUAAAGAGACCCCUCGGCCGCCCUUCGGUGGACCGAGGCCAGGGGUAGCGAUAUCAGUAUGAACAGAGGCGGAGUUGGCUCGAGAAUGGGAACCUGGUUGGCCGGAGCCUAGUCGUGUUGUCCGUCAGCGGAGCCGACGCCAAAGUCGAUCAGUCGAGGCCUCGGGUCGGGCUGGCGCCCUUGGAAGCCGGUUGACCGAGGCCCCAGGGGUAACCGGUUGAGCCGCCUGCUCGGGCCGGAUUCCCGGAGGAGCCCCUGGACCGCGGCGCCGCCCGAGGCUGGGUCGGGCUUUGCUGAAGACGUCGUCGAUGCCGAGGGUGCUACGGCUCCCUUCAGCGUGAAGACCUGAGCCUGCAGGAUCAGAUCAUCUUGUAGCGUGUGCUUUCUGCGGCCACCGAGGCCAGAAGAACACGCCCUCGCCGCGCUCGCGAAGCUGCGUCUUUUUUCCUCUUGUUUCGAGCAUCUGGACUCUGUCGGUAACAGGGAUGUUUGUGUGAGCGAGAGUUGCUUUUCGCGGAAGGGACGAGUGAGGUAUCCGUAUCCCCGAGGCGUGGGAAUCCCUCGGCUCGGUCGGCCUUGCCGCUUACGCGUACUUUCACCCGUCCAUGAGGCCCUGUCCCCGACUUAGUCGAGAAGGCUUGAAGGACUGCUUCGGCAGGAGAGCUUCCGAACGUGAAGACUUGUUCGGUCCACGGAAUCGCUUUAUCCGAGCGCAAGUUACUUAUCGCAGAAGGUGAUGAGUGAGGUAUCCGUAUCCCGGAGGCGUAGGAGUCCCUCGGCUCGGUCAGCCUUGGCUGCUUACGUGUACUCCGUCGUUUCCAGGAUCCGCUUUCCGAAGUAGUCAAGAGGCACGAAAGAAAUCCUGCUAAAAAGAGAUCCUUUUUCGAGGAAAAAUUCGACGCAGAGGGGGUCUCCCCCCUUUAGCCCCCGAGGGAGGGUCGGGCUUCGCCGAGGCUAAGCCGACCCUUCCUUGACGACUAAACUUUGCGUAGGUGCGAGGUAUAUGAACAACUUGAAAACAUCUUAAGGGUAGAAGCGACGUAGCUGUUUGAUGUUCCAAGCGUUGCCGUAGAUCUCGCCUUGAUUGCUGGCCAGCUUGUAUGUUCCGGGCUUCAGAACUUUGGCGAUGACGAAUGGCCCUUCCCAGGGGGGCGUGAGCUUGUGCCUCCCUUGGGCGUCUUGUCGCAGCCGAAGCACCAGGUCGCCCACCUGGAGUUCUCGGGACCGGACCCCUCGGGCGUGGUAGCGUCGCAGGGACUGUUGGUACCGCGCCGAGUGUAGCAAGGCCCUGUCCCGAGCUUCCUCCAGCUGGUCCAGCGAUUCCUCUCGGCUGGCUUGGUUGCUUUGUUCGGUGUAGGCCCUCGCCCUCGGGGAGCCGUAUUCCAGGUCAGUGGGCAAGACAGCUUCAGCCCCGUAGACCAGGAAAAACGGCGUGAAGCCCGUGGCACGACUCGGCGUCGUCCUUAGGCUCCAGACCACCGAGGGGAGUUCCUUCAUCCAUCGCCUGCCGAACUUGUUGAGGUCGUUGUAGAUCCGAGGCUUGAGCCCUUGUAGAAUCAUGCCGUUGGCACGCUCUACCUGCCCAUUCGACAUGGGAUGAGCCACGGCGGCCCAGUCCACCCGGAUAUGGUGAUCUUCGCAAAAAUCCAAGAAUUUUUUGUCGGUGAACUGGGUGCCGUUGUCGGUGAUGAUGGAGUUCGGGACUCCGAAGCGAUGGAUGAUGUUGGUGAAGAAUGCCACCGCCUGCUCGGACCCGAUGCUGUUCAGAGGUCGGACCUCGAUCCACUUGGAGAAUUUGUCGAUGGCGACCAGCAGGUGCGUGUAGCCCCCGGGCGCCUUCUGCAAGGGACCGACGAGGUCCAGACCCCAUACAGCGAAGGGCCAGGUGAUGGGUAUUGUCUGCAGAGCCUGAGCGGGCAGGUGUGUCCGCUUCGCAUAGAAUUGGCACCCUUCGCAGGUGCGGACAAUUCUAGUGGCGUCAGCCACCGCCGUUGGCCAGUAGAAGCCUUGCCGGAAAGCAUUUCCAACAAGGGCUCGGGGUGCUGCGUGGUGGCCGCAAGCCCCCGAGUGUACUUCUUGCAGCAGUUCCCGACCUUCGGCGAUGGAGAUGCAUCGCUGGAGGAUGCCCGAGGGGCUGCGAUGGUAGAGCUCCUCUUCGUCGCCCAGCAAGACGAAUGACUUGGCGCGUCGCGCUACCCGCCGAGCCUCGACUUGGUCGAGGGGUAGCUCUCCUCGACGGAGAUAUUGCAGGUACGGGGCCUGCCAAUCCUGGUCUGGCGCGGCCCCGCUCUGCCCUUCCUCGACGUUCAAUGCCCCGCCCUCGGGGGCUGAGGGUACCUCGGGCUGGGCCGAGGGUGCCUCGGGCUGAACCGAGGGUACCUCGGGCUGAGCCGAGGGUACCUCGGGCUGAGCCGAGGGUACCUCGGGCUGAGCCGAGGGUACCUCAGGCUCGGGCGCGUCGUCGAGCUUGACGGAGGGUUGAUGCAGAUCCCGGGAGAAGACGUCCGGGGGAACUGUCGUUCGCCCCGAGGCUAUCUUAGCCAGCUCGUCUGCGGUUUCGUUGUAGCGCCGAGCGAUGUGGUUGAGCUCGAGCCCGAAGAACUUGUCUUCCAGGCGCCGAACCUCGUCGCAGUAGGCCUCCAUCUUCGGGUCGCGGCAGUGGGAGUUCUUCAUGACUUGGUCGAUGACGAGCUGCGAAUCACCGCGGGCGUCGAGGCGUCUGACCCCUAGCUCGAUGGCGAUCCGCAAUCCGUUGACCAAAGCUUCGUACUCGGCCACAUUGUUGGACGCCGGGAAGUGGAGGCGCAGCACGUAGCGCAAGUGCUUUCCGAGGGGCGAGAUGAAGAGCAGGCCCGCGCCGGCCCCCGUCUUCAUCAGCGACCCGUCGAAAAACAUGGUCCAGAGCUCCGGUUGGAUCGGAGUCGUUGGCAGUUGGGUGUCGACCCAUUCGGCCACGAAAUCCGCCAACACUUAGGACUUGAUGGCCUUCCGAGGGGCGAACGAGAUCGUUUCGCCCAUGAUCUCCACCGCCCACUUUGCGAUCCUGCCCGAGGCCUCUCGGCACUGGAUGAUCUCCCCCAGGGGGAAGGAUGACACCACAGUUACCGGAUGGGACUCGAAGUAGUGUCGUAGCUUCCGCCUUGUCAGGAUCACAGCAUACAGCAGCUUUUGAACUUGUGGGUAGCGGAUCUUAGUCUCGGACAGCACUUCGCUGAUGAAGUAGACCGGCCUCUGAACGGGCAAUGUAUGCCCUUCCUCUUGCCUUUCGACCACAAUCGCGGCGCUAACCACUUGAGUGGUCGCGGCGACGUGGACCAAGAGGGUUUCUCCGUCCGCCGGCGGCACCAAGACUGGCGCCUUUGUAAGGAGCGCCUUCAGGUUGCCGAGGGCUUCCUCGGCCUCGGGGGUCCAAGCGAAACACUCGGCCUUCCUUAAGAGGAGGUACAGAGGCAGACCUCUUUCGCCGAGGCGUGAGAUGAAGCGGCUCAGGGCCGCGAGGCAUCCCAUGACCCCCUGUACCCCUUUUAAGUCCUUGAUGGGUCCCAUGCUGGUGAUGGCCGCAAUCUUCUCCGGGUUGGCUUCGAUGCCUCGCUCGGAGACGAUGAACCCUAGGAGCAUGCCUCGGGGCACCCCGAAGACACACUUCUCAGGAUUAAGCUUGACUCCUUUCGCCUUGAGACACUGGAAUGUCACUUCAAGGUCGGAGAGGAGGUCGGAAGCCUUCCGUGUCUUGACUACGAUGUCAUCGACGUAGGCCUCGACUGUGCGACCGAUGUGUUCGCCGAACACAUGGUUCAUGCACCGCUGGUACGUCGCGCCCGCAUUCCUCAAGCCGAACGGCAUGGUGACAUAGCAGUACAUGCCGAACGGUGUGAUGAAAGAAGUCGCGAGCUGGUCGGACUCUUUCAUCCGAAUCUGGUGAUACCCCGAGUAGGCAUCGAGGAAGGACAGGGUUUCGCACCCAGCAGUGGAAUCCACGAUUUGGUCGAUGCGAGGCAGAGGGUAGGGAACCUUCGGACAUGCUUUGUUGAGACCAGUGUAGUCUACACACAUCCGCCAUUUCCCCCCUUUCUUCCUCACAAGCACAGGGUUGGCAAGCCAUUCAGGAUGGAAUACCUCUUUGAUGAACCCCGCCGCCAUUAGCUUGUGGAUCUCUUCGCCAAUCGCUCUGCGCUUCUCCUCGUCGAAUCGGCGCAGAGGCUGCCUGACGGGUCGGGCUCCGGCCCGAAUAUCCAGCGAGUGCUCGGCGACAUCCCUCGGUACGUCGGGCAUGUCCGAGGGACUCCACGCAAAGACGUCGGCGUUUGCGCGGAGAAAGUCGACGAGCACUGCUUCCUAUUUGGGGUCGAGCCCGGAACCGAUCCGGAUCUGCUUGGUGGUGUCGCCACUGGGGUCGAGGGGGACGGCCUUGACCAUCUCCGCUGGCUCGAAGUUGCCGGCAUGGCGCUUCACGUCUGGGACCUCCUUGGAGAGGUUCUCCAGGUCGGCGAUGAGGGCCUCGGACUCGGCGAGGGCCUCGGCGCACUCCACGCACUCCACGUCGCAUUCGAACGCGUGUUUGUACGUGGGGCCGACGGUGAUGACCCCGUUGGGGCCCGGCAUCUUGAGCUUCAGGUAGGUGUAGUUGGGGACGGCCAUGAACUUCGCGUAGCAUGGCCUCCCUAGCACGGCGUGGUAGGUUCCUCGGAACCCGACCACUUCGAACGUCAGGGUCUCCCUUCGGAAGUUGGAGGGUGUUCCGAAGCAGACUGGGAGGUCGAGUCGCCCGAGGGGCUGGACGCGCUUCCCAGGGAUGAUCCCGUGGAAGGGCGCAGCGCCUGCUCGGACGGAGGACGGAUCGACGCGCAGAAGCUUGAGGGUCUCGGCGUAGAUGAUGUUGAGGCAGCUGCCCCCGUCCAUCAGGACCUUGGUGAGCCUGACAUCGCCGACAACGGGGUCGACGACGAGCGGGUAUUUCCCCGGGCUCGGCACAUGGUCGGGGUGGUCGGCCCGGUCGAAAGUGAUGGGCUUGUCGGACCAGUCUAGGUAGACUGGCGCCGCCACCUUCACCGAGCAGACCUCCCAGCGCUCUUGCUUGUGGUGCCGAGCCGAGGUAUUCGCCGCAUGCCCUCCAUAGAUCAUGAAGCAGUCGCGGACCUCGGGGAACCCCCCUGCUGGGUGAUCUUCGUUCUUGUCGUCGUCGUGGGCCCUGCCACCCUCGGCGGGUGGCCCGGCCCUGUGGAAGUGACGCCGAAGCAUAACGCACUCCUCGAGGGUGUGCUUGACGGGCCCCUGAUGGUAGGGGCACGGCUCCUUGAGCAUCUUGUCGAAGAGGUUCGCACCUCCGGGGGGCUUCCGAGGGUUCUUAUACUCGGCGGCGGCGACAAGGUCCGCGUCGGCGGCGUCGCGUUUCGAUUGCGACUUCUUCUUGCCUUUCUUCUUGGCGCCGCGCGGAGCAGACGCCUCGGGAGCUCCUUCCGAUGGGCGGCCCUGGGGCUGCUUGUCCUUUCGGAAGAUAGCCUCGACCGCCUCCUGGCCGGAGGCGAACUUGGUGGCGAUGUCCAUCAGCUUGCUCGCCCUGGUGGGGGUUUUGCGACCCAGCUUGCUCACCAGGUCGCAGCAAGUGGUGCCGUCGAGGAACGCGCCGAUGACAUCCGAGUCGGUGAUGUUGGGCAGCUCGGUGCGCUGCUUAGAGAAUCGCCGGAUGUAGUCCCGGAGCGACUCCCCCGGCUGUUGCCGGCAGCUUCGAAGGUCCCAGGAAUUCCCGGGGCGCACGUAUGUGCCCUGGAAAUUGCCAGCGAAGGCUUGGACCAAGUCGUCCCAGUUGGAAAUCUGCCCCGGAGGCAGGUGCUCCAACCAGGCGCGAGCAGUGUCGGAGAGGAACAGGGGGAGGUUGCGGAUGAUGAGGUUGUCGUCGUCCGUUCCACCCAGUUGGCAGGCAAGGCGGUAGUCCGCGAGCCACAGUUCCGGUCUCGUUUCCCCCGAGUACUUUGUGAUAGUAGUCGGGGGUCGGAACCGGGUCGGGAAUGGCGCCCGUCGGAUGGCCCGACUGAAGGCCUGCGGACCGGGUGGUUCGGGCGAGGGACUCCGAUCCUCCCCGCUGUCGUAGCGCCCCCCCACGCCUGGGGUGGUAGCCUCGGCGCACCCUUUCGUCGAGGUGAGCCCGACGGUCGCGUCGAUGGUGCUCGUUGCCGAGGUGGCCCGGGGCCGCAGGCGCGGUGUUGCGCGUGCGCCCGGUGUAGACCGAGGCUUCCCGCAUGAAUCGGGAAGUCGCGGCAUGAGGUUCCGAGGGAUAUCCUUGCCUCCGGGAUGCAGUGCUCUCGGCCCGCCGGGCCGCAGCGCCUUCCAGGAGAUUCUUGAGUUCUCCCUGGAUUCGCCGACCCUCGGUGGUUGACGGCUCCGGCAUCGCGCGGAUGAGCAUCGCUGCGGUUGCCAGGUUCUGACCGACCCCGCUGGAUGCGGGCGGCGGCCUGAUCCUGACAUCGUUGGCGACGCGGUGCUGGAGACCUUGGGGCAGAUGACGUAUUUCUCCGGCCAGGGGUUGGCCCACCCAUGCCUGUCCGACGUCCCGACGGAUCGGCUCAAGCGCUCCUGUUCCCUCGUUGAGCCUGGCCUGCGCCUCGCGGACUUGCUCGAGUUGUGGGUCGUAACCCCCCGCCGGAGCGGGGACCACAACUAGCUCCCGUGGGAUGUCGGCGCGAGGCACCGGCCUGGGGAGAUCACCAUCCUCCGGCAUGCCAAGAUGGUUGCCUUCGGUGGGAUCCCCUAGCUCGAUGUGGAAACAUUCGCGGCUUGGGCCGCAGCUCUCGUCGCCAAGGCUGCGGCUUCCAUCGGAACAGUCGGAUAGACAGUAGUCACAUGCGGUCAUGAAGUCCCGCACGGCACUGGGGUUGCCAAGUCCGGAGAAAUCCCAACCGAUGCUGGGAUCGUCAUCUUCCUCGGACCCAGAGGGCCCGUAGGUCGAGACGUCCGUCAGUCGGUCCCAAGGCGACCGCAUACAGAACCUCAGUGGGGUUGCACUCGCCUCAAUGAGAGCGCCCGCCAAAACGAGGUCGUUUGGCGGGUUGAGGCCGAGUCGAAAUGACGCAAGAUGGGAGUUAGUCGUUACCUUUCGGUCGACGAGGAGCGACGUAGUCACAUCGGGGACUGGUUGCGCCGUCAUCUCUGGUUCGAGGGCGACGUCCUGCAGGCUUUCCGCGAGCGCGCCGGCGUCGUCUUCUUGCUCAAGGUCAGCGUGCCGCGGGGGGACGGCGCUCGCCUCCGUCUCGAACGCGAGGUCGACGUCCGGCGUGCCUUCCGUCGGGGCGUCGGGGGCGUCGAUUCGCUCGACGGCCGACGAAGCGCGGCCUCCCGUCUGGCCUUGACGGCUCCGCCUCCUCCUCCGUUGGCGGGGGAGAGAACGGAGCGAGCCCGAAUAUUGCUCUUCCACCACGCGGGGAAGACGUCGUCGAUUCCGCCGCCGGCGGGCGGGUUGUCGGCCGCCAUUGUCGUAGUCGCGCGGCGGUGGAAGAAGUGUCAUGUCGUAGCUGCCGUCGAAGGACAUGAACUCGAGAGUCCCGAAACGAAGCACCGUCCCGGGCCGGAGAGGUUGCUGGAGACUGCCCAUCUGGAGCUUGACGGGGAGCUGUUCGUCAGCACGCAGCCGUGCCCCUACCUGGCGCGCCAACUGUCGGCGUUUCGAGACAGGGGGGUCCCUAAGCCGACGAGUGAGUGUGCUGCGUGCCCCAGCCCAGAUGGGUCGAGCGCGUGGGCGAGCGCGAAGGGGGGAGAGGCGAGGUGGCCGGAGCCGAGCGUGAGAGAGGUGGAAGUCCCGCGGCCUUCGUGUUCGUCCCGCGCCCAGGUCAGGUGCGCUUGCAGUAGGGGGGUUACAAGCGUCCACGCGGGUGAGGGAAGCGAGCGGCCCCAAGAGAGCGCCUGUCCCGUCCUCGGUCCCGCGCGGCCAACCUUCUCUAAGAAGGCCCUGGUCCUCCCUUUUAUAGUCGUAAGGAGAGGAUCCAGGUGUACAAUGGGGGGUGUAGCAGAGUGCUACGUGUCUAGCGGAGGGAGAGCUAGCGCCCUAGGUACAUGCCAAUGUGGCAGCCGGAGAGAUCUAGGCACCCUGCUGGCGUGAUGUCGUGGCUGUCGGAGGUGCGGCGGAGCCUGGUGGAGGGACAGCUGUUGGAGCGGUCGAAUCCCUGCUGACGUCGUCCUGCUUUCGUAAGAGAGCUGGGGGCCGCCGUCGUCAUAGAGCUUGUGGAGCGCCAUCAUUGCCCUCCGGCGGAGCGGGCCGGAUGGGACGCCGGUCUUGUUCUUCGUGACCCGAGUCGAUUCGGGGUAGGAUGAUGAUGGCGCUUCCUGUCGACGUGGCGGUCUGUGCCCUAGGCAGGGCGACGUGGGGGUUCCUCCGAAGCCGAGGUUGAGUCUGCCUUCCGUUGCCGUGGCCGAGCCCGAGCCAUGGGGUCGGGCGAGGCGGAAGUCGUUCGGCCGAGGCCAGGGCGGAGUCCGAGCCCUGGGGUCGGGCGAGGCGGAAGUCGUUCGGCCGAGGCCAGGGCGGAGUCCGAGCCCUGGGGUCGGGCGAGGCGGAAGUCGUUCGGCCGAGGCCAGGGCGGAGUCCGAGCCCUGGGGUCGGGCGAGGCGGAAGUUGUUCGGCCGAGGCCAGGGCGGAGUCCGAGCCCUGGGGUCGGGCGAGGCGGAGUUUCGUCGUCUUCCGGGUCUUAGCCCGAGUCCGAGCCCUGGGGUCGGGCGAAGCGGAGUUUCGUCGUCUUCCGGGUCUUAGCCCGAGUCCGAGCCCUGGGGUCGGGCGGAGCGGAGUUUCGUCGUCUUCCGGGUCUUAGCCCGAGUCCGAGCCCUGGGGUCGGGCGGAGCGGAGUUCGCCGUCUUCCGGGUCUUAGCCCGAGUCCGAGCCCUGGGGUCGGGCGGAGCGGAGUUUCGUCGUCUUCCGGGUCUUAGCCCGAGUCCGAGCCCUGGGGUCGGGCGGGGCGGAGUUCGCCGUCUUCCGGGUCUUAGCCCGAGUCCGAGCCCUGGGGUCGGGCGGGGCGGAGUUCGCCGUGGCGCCUUUGGCAAGGCCUACUGCCUGUCAGACUCACUCUGUCGAGUGGCACUGCAGUCGGAGUGGCGCAGGCGGCGCUGUCCUUCUGUCAGACUGGCCAGUGGAGCGGUAGAGUGACGGCGGUCACCUCGGCUCUGCCGGGGGCGCGUGUCAGGAUAGAGGUGUCAGGCCACCUUUGCGUUAAAUGCCCCUGCAAUUUGGUCAGUCGGUGUGGUGAUUUAGUCAAGGUUGCUUCUGAGCGAAGCCAAGGCCUUGGGCGAGCCGGUGAUGUGUCCGCCAUAAAAAGGGGGCCUCGGGCGAGACGGAAGUCUCUCGAGGUCGGCUGCCUUUGGCCGAGGCUAGGCUCGGGUGAAGCGUGAUCGAGUCACUCGUGUGGACUGAUCCCUGACUUAAUCGUACCCAUCAGGCCUUUGCAGCUUUAUGCUGAUGGGGGUUACCAGCUGAGAAUUAGGCGCCUUGAGGGUACCCCUAAUUAUGGUCCCCGACAAGGUACGCUAACAAAUGGUAACGGAGCUCAGGCCCGCCUGUUUAGGGGAUGGAAUGUCACGAACUAUGUGUAGCCUGGGUUAGUACCACCUCUCUUGCGGGAGUGGGCCGUGGUCGGCUUAUAAGGGCGUGCUUCAUUCCUCUCUCAACCCGGGUUUUGAGAUGUGAGUGUGGAGCUCGCUGCUGAAGGCCGACCCACGAGCGCAUGAACGCCCGAACGCAUGUCGAGUGUGGGUUUUUCGGUGGACUGGUCCAGGUACGCUAACAAAUGGUAACAUAGCUCAGGCCCGCCUGUUUAGGGGAUGCAAUGUCACGAACUAUGUGUAGCCUGGGUUAGUACCACCUCGCUUGCGGGAGGGGGCCGUGGCCGGCUUAUAAGGGCGAGCUAAUUCCUCUCUCAACCCGGGUUUUGAGAUGUGAGUGUGGAGCUCGCUGCUGAAGGCCGACCCACGAGCGCAUAAACGCCUGAGACUGGCUCAGGUACGCUAACAAAUGGUAACGGAGCUCAGGCCCGCCUGUUUAGGGGAUGGAAUGUCACGAACUAUGUGUAGCCUGGGUUAGUACCACCUCGCUUGCGGGAGGGGGCCGUGGUCGGCUUAUAAGGGCGAGCUUCAUUCCUCUCUCAACCCGGGUUUUGAGAUGUGAGUGUGGAGCUCGCUGCUGAAGGCCGACCCACGAGCGCAUGAACGCCCGAACGCAUGUCGAGUGUGGGUUUUUCGGUGGACUGGUCCAGGUACGCUAAUGUCGGGGACCAUAAUUAGGGGUACCCUCAAGGCGCCUAAUUCUCAGCUGGUAACCCCCAUCAGCAUAAAGCUGCAAAGGCCUGAUGGGCACGAUUAAGUCAGGGAUCAGUCCACACGAGUGACUCGAUCACGCUUCACCCGAGCCUAGCCUCGGCCAAAGGCAGCCGACCUCGAGAGACUUCCGUCUCGCCCGAGGCCCCCUUUUUAUGGCGGACACAUCACCGGCUCGCCCAAGGCCUUGGCUUCGCUCAGAAGCAACCUUGACUAAAUCACCACACCGACUGACCAAAUUGCAGGGGCAUUUAACGCAAAGGUGGCCUGACACCUCUAUCCUGACACGCGCCCCCGGCAGAGCCGAGGUGACCGCUGUCACUCUACCGCUCCACUGGCCAGUCUGACAGAAGGACAGCGCCGCCUGCGCCACUCCGACUGCAGUGCCACUCGACAGAGUGAGUCUGACAGGCAGUAGGCCUUGCCAAAGGCGCCACGGCGAACUCCGCCCCGCCCGACCCCAGGGCUCGGACUCGGGCUAAGACCCGGAAGACGGCGAACUCCGCCCCGCCCGACCCCAGGGCUUGGACUCGGGCUAAGACCCGGAAGACGGCGAACUCCGCCCCGCCCGACCCCAGGGCUCGGACUCGGGCUAAGACCCGGAAGACGGCGAACUCCGCUCCGCCCGACCCCAGGGCUCGGACUCGGGCUAAGACCCGGAAGACGACGAAACUCCGCUUCGCCCGACCCCAGGGCUCGGACUCGGGCUAAGACCCGGAAGACGACGAAACUCCGCCUCGCCCGACCCCAGGGCUCGGACUCCGCCCUGGCCUCGGCCGAACAACUUCCGCCUCGCCCGACCCCAGGGCUCGGACUCCGCCCUGGCCUCGGCCGAACGACUUCCGCCUCGCCCGACCCCAGGGCUCGGGCUCGGCCACGGCAACGGAAGGCAGACUCAACCUCGGCUUCGGAGGAACCCCCACGUCGCCCUGCCUAGGGCACAGACCGCCACGUCGACAGGAAGCGCCAUCAUCAUCCUACCCCGAAUCGACUCGGGUCACGGAGAACAAGACCGGCGUCCCAUCCGGCCAGCUCCGCCGGAGGGCAAUGAUGGCGCUCCACAAGCUCUAUGACGACGGCGGCCCCCAGCUCUCUUACGGAAGCAGGACGACGUCAGCAGGGAUUCGACCGCUCCAACAGCUGUCCCUCCACCAGGCUCCGCCGCACCUCCGACAGCCACGACAUCACGCCAGCAGGGUGCCCAGAUCUCUCCGGCUGCCACAUUGGCAUGUACUUAGGGCGCUAGCUCCCCCUCCGCUAGACACGUAGCACUCUGCUACACCCCCCAUUGUACACCUGGAUCCUCUCCUUACGACUAUAAAAGGGAGGACCAGGGCCUUCUUAGAGAAGGUUGGUCGCGCGGGACCGAGGACGGGACAGGCGCUCUCUUGGGGCCGCUCGCUUCCCUCACCCGCGUGGACGCUUGUAACCCCCCUACUGCAAGCGCACCUGACCUGGGCGCGGGACGAACACGAAGGCCGCGGGACUUCCACCUCUCUCACGCUCGGCUCCGGCCACCUCGCCUCUCCCCCCUUCGCGCUCGCCCACGCGCUCGACCCAUCUGGGCUGGGGCACGCAGGACACUCACUCGUCGGCUUAGGGACCCCGCUGUCUCGAAACGCCGACAGCUAACAAAUGGUAACGGAGCUCAGGCCCGCCUGUUUAGGGGAUGGAAUGUCACGAACUAUGUGUAGCCUGGGUUAGUACCACCUCGCUUGCGGGAGGGGGGCGUGGCCGGCUUAUAAGGGCGAGCUUCAUUCCUCUCUCAACCCGG